GAAAAAAACAACGCGCCUCUAUUGUUGAGGGUGGCUUGUACCUGGGCCGCGAAGUGCGGCGGAGCUGAGACCCCGCGGGAGGGACGGGGCAGCACCGGCCCCGGCCUGGGGUCAGGGGGGUUCGGGGAGGAAGAUCCAGCCUGGGGCCGGCAGGGUAAUGCGUGGAGAAGCAGCGUCGCUUAUACAAGAUGUUGAUGGAAUUUACUAUAUUAUUAAAGGAAAAAAAAAUCCCCUUUCAAGAAUAAAGUGUAUCAACUUACAACACAACAGACGGCAGAGGGAUAAGUGAAACAGACAAAAGACAAACAAGAUAAUAAUCUGUUUCCAAUCAGUUAAGCCCUGUAGAAUUUGUAAUACGCGGUUUGCAUAUUCCCCCUGUGUUUUGUAAUUAAUUAUCUAUCUGUUCGGAUGCUCCGCCGCCGACUCCGUAGAUAUUACCAACUAUUUUUGGGGUUGUAGGCGGUGAUCACGCCGGGAAAGGAGCGCGGAGCGGGGCCGGGCUCCGCGGCUCCGGCCGGCCCGAGGAUGCCGAGCCCGGGCGCGGUGGGAGGCGGCGGCUCCGCGGCGCUCCGCGCUCCUCCGCGGGGCCGCUGCCGGCGGGCGAGGCUGCUCCCCCCGCGCUCCCCUCCUUUCCCCUGGUAAGAGGGGGGACGGGGCAGGUUUUAACAUUAAACAAACCCAGCAAGCAUCUCCUCGCCGGGCCAUAGGCGUUUCUGAGUGACUGCGUUACAAAUUGUAAAUUUAAAUAGCUCACAGGAUUCAUUACCUCCCGCGUCUGAUUUCACCCAGCCGUGAAAAAUUGUCCUGGUGUACCACUGAGAAAGGGUUUGCUGCAAAGAGCCACAGUCUAAUCACCAGCUUUCUCUCGCCAACAAAAGUGUAAUUAUUUUGUUUUGGG